CGUAUGACAUUAAUCGUUGAACAAACGAACCUUUGGUAGCGGCUACACCACCGGGGCGUCCUGAUCCAACAUCGAGGUCGUAAACCCCCCUGGCGAUAUGGACUCUUGAGGGGGAUGGCGCUGUUAUCCCUGGGGUAACUUGGUCCGAUUCUCAGUGUUACUGGGUCAAUUUAUGUGACUGCAAGGCUUGUAGGCCUCGUGGUGGAUGGUUAGUCCUGAUUCAUGGAGGUUUUGUUUUUCUCCGUAGUCGCCCCAACUUAAAGCCGGGAGCUAUAAGGGGCUAAUGGUUAUGUCCGGGGUGGACUUGUUUGUCUUUAGGUAGCGGGGGCUUGAAGCUCCACAGGGUCUUUUCGUCUUGUGGUGUUAUUUCAGCUUUUGUACUGAAAGAUCAGUUUCAUUGAUUGGCCGCAGGAGACAGUUGGGCCCUCAGUUAGCCGUUCAUACAAGUCUCUAUUUAGAAGACAAGUGAUUACGCUACCUUUGCACGGUUAUAAUACCGCGGCCGUUGAAU
rnacentral:rRNA from 1 species